GUCUUCUCCCCUUCUUCUUCUUCUUCUUCCCUCUAUUUGUUGUAUAUGGGAUAGAACAAAAUACAAACCCUAAAAAAAAUUUUGAUAAGCAAGAAACCCUAAAAUUAGUUUUGUGUCUGUGUAUUUUUGGAAUUGGUGUUUUCUUCCUCACAGAUUCUGGUAAGAAAUUGAGAGAGAAGAGGGAAAGAAGAAAGAGUGACAGAAGAGAGUGAGCAUAGGCAGGCAAUUGUACAUACAUAGUCUAUUCUUUUGCCGGCGCGUGCUCACUUCUCUUUCUGUCAAACCUUCUCUUUUCACUUUCCUUCACAACAAACAUUUUGCAGAUGUCACUUCCCCCCAUUCUCACAAAUUUACCAGUAAAAGAUGGUAUUCGAGGUGUCGACAUACGGAUCCGGAUGAGAUGAGUGCUUGCUGCUGCCACAAAACACUGCAAAUUUGUAGUACUACUACUCUUCGCUGCUCUCUUUUGUUUUUUAGCUCAUCAGAGUAGCUUUAAUUGCUCUUUCUUUAUUGGUCGAUUCUUAUUAUUUUAUGCUUUUCGUGGUGGAGCUGAACACUUUGUACCCGGAAACUGGAUAAGCGCGACUUUUAAUGGUACUUUUUCUUUCAAUUUGUUGAAGACGAUGCGGUACUACGCCGCCUCCUCCUCACAAAAUUAUUAUCUAGGUUUUCUUUUAAUGACUCUUUAUCUUCUUCGUUAAUUGUUCUAGAACUCAUAGGGGCGGGCCUGUAUGGUUGCAGCGAUAUCAUAUCACGCUAAAUCUGUCCCCGAUUCUUGUUUCUCUCUUCUAUCUUAUCCCGCAUAGGGUUUUGCAUAUUAGGUUUUUCAAUUUUCAAACACUAUUUCGGGCUUCUCGGUUUGGAUUUUGUUGACAGGGAAGAAGAAGAAGAAGACGAAGUGUGUGUAGCUUUUGAAAAUGAAUGUUCAGAGUUGAUUUCACAAAUAUGGGAAAAAUAUCUGCUUUCCUCUUCGGUUUCGGCAAAUUUCCUUGUAGAGACACACUUGAUUUUUUGGGCGAGAAACGACUUCUAUUUGCUGCAGCAGCUUAUUCUCUCUCAGAUGUCCAAUGGAAGAAGAGACGCAGUGCAUGAUUUCAAAUAGCGAGGUUUCGGAUUCAAAUAGCAGAGCAUCCUGCAAGCAAACAAGGUAUGUUACAGGCAGCACUUUGACAUGCAAAGGUGUGGUACCACAGCAAAUGGUCACUGGGGUGCACAACACAAAUAUAUAUUCUAAUCGCCAAAGAAUUUGGCUUGGAACUUUCAGAGCACAAAAAGAAGCGGCUAUGGCUUACAAUAGCGCAACAAUCAAACUCCGGAGUGGAGAUUCUCGCAGGGAUUUGCAGUCAUUACAGUUCCGAAGCAGUUCUUAACAUCCCGGACUUUAUUUACCACUGUUUUAUGUUCUGUCUUAUGCUUUGGGGUGUAUUUCAGAGUUGUAUGAGAUUUUGGUUAUUUUUGGUGUGAUUAUAAAUAUUUAAAAUUUUUAAGGGUGCGGUUAACAAGGAAUACAGUUCGAAAACGCUGGGGUGAUGCCAAA